GUCCUCGUAGCUUACAAAAAGCAUGCCACU
rnacentral:tRNA from 11 species